GAUUCUCCAGCCUCAGACUGACAAAGCAUUUGAGACUACCUUCAUGAAAAAUGCAAGAAUGAAUUGAAAUCUGUUUGCACUCUUUCCGAAUCCACUGAUUGCAAUUUCUCUCUUGGAACCAUCAAAAUAUGUGAACUCUGUGACUAUCGCUAUUUUUCCAGCUUCCAGUUGUUCCAAGAUUAUUAUCUCUUCUGAGCAGCUCAGCUUUCCUCAACUAAGAGGUUCAAAAGAAUCCUGGAAUUGAGUCUCACUGAAUUAUGACAGGUAUCUUCUGCUGAUGAAUUGACAAUGAAAUGCCUGAUUCUCUAAGGGUACCAUUGGGAAGAAACAGAGCAAUUUGUUUGCCAGCAUUAUUUUCUAAAUAAAAGUGCAAGAUACUAAGUUGGCUGAUCUUAAGGGAAGAAUAAUCAUCCUUUUAUUUCAUACGGUUUUUAACUUUCAAGUCAGCUAUGCCUAAAUUUCAAUCAACAUGGAUGAGAGUUAUUUGAGUGAAUUGUCUGAUACAAACAUCUGUUUAUCUCAUGAAGCCAGCAAAGUGAUCCUGUGCAGCGUUUAUGUAAGUUCUGCAGUAAAGCAGGUAGGUAAGAAGGUUACUGAAAACAAUGACAGAAACACCAUAGCAUCACCACAAAUCCAUGCUGAGGACCGUUUAUAUUGCAGGACUUGAAAGUACAUUAGUAGGACAGUAAAACAGUCAUGACCACAAGAAGCUGACACUCUGAGAUGACUGAAGAAAUAAAAGCAGGACAGAAUGUGGCCAACUCAGUAGAAUCUACUCUGCUUCAGGAAAUCAUAGAAUAAACUCUUGGACAAACUU